rfam:Glomerella graminicola M1.001 genomic scaffold supercont1.47, whole genome shotgun sequence.
GGAAGGGUGGCCGAGUUGGUUAUGGCGCCAGGUUAAGGUCAUCUUAACAUCUAUUUCCUGGUGGGGCAACCCGCGCGAGUUCGAGUCUCGUCCCUUUCA